rnacentral:rRNA from 1 species
AAAUUGAAGAGUUUGAUCAUGGCUCAGAUUGAACGCUGGCGGCAGGCCUAACACAUGCAAGUCGAACGGUAACAGGAAGCAGCUUGCUGCUUUGCUGACGAGUGGCGGACGGGUGAGUAAUGUCUGGGAAACUGCCUGAUGGAGGGGGAUAACUACUGGAAACGGUAGCUAAUACCGCAUAACGUCGCAAGACCAAAGAGGGGGACCUUCGGGCCUCUUGCCAUCGGAUGUGCCCAGAUGGGAUUAGCUAGUAGGUGGGGUAACGGCUCACCUAGGCGACGAUCCCUAGCUGGUCUGAGAGGAUGACCAGCCACACUGGAACUGAGACACGGUCCAG